rnacentral:rRNA from 1 species
UGGCUCAGAACGAACGCUGGCGGCGUGGAUAAGACAUGCAAGUCGAACGGGAGAAUUGCUAGCUUGCUAAUAAUUCUCUAGUGGCGCACGGGCGAGUAACACGUGAGUAACCUGCCUCUUAGUGGGGGAUAGCCCUGGGAAACCGGGAUUAAUACCGCAUACGAUUGAAAGAUCAAAGCAGCAAUGCGCUAGGAGAUGGGCUCGCGGCCUAUUAGUUAGUUGGUGAGGUAACGGCUCACCAAGGCGAUGACGGGUAGCCGGUCUGAGAGGAUGUCCGGCCACACUGGAACUGAGACACGGUCCAGACACCUACGGGUGGCAGCAGUCGAGAAUCAUUCACAAUGGGGGCAACCCUGAUGGUGCGACGCCGCGUGGGGGAAUGAAGGUCUUCGGAUUGUAAACCCCUGUCAUGUGGGAGCAAAUUAAAAAGAUAGUAACACAAGAGGAAGAGACGGCUAACUCUGUGCCAGCAGCCGCGGUAAUACAGAGGUCUCAAGCGUUGUUCGGAAUCACUGGGCGUAAAGCGUGCGUAGGCUGUUUCGUAAGUCGUGUGUGAAAGGCAGGGGCUCAACCCCUGGAUUGCACAUGAUACUGCGAGACUAGAGUAAUGGAGGGGGAACCGGAAUUCUCGGUGUAGCAGUGAAAUGCGUAAAUAUCGAGAGGAACACUCGUGGCGAAGGCGGGUUCCUGGUAAUUUACUUGACGCUUGAGGCACCAAGGCCAGGGGAGCGAAAGGGAUUAGAUACCCCUGUAGUCCUGGCAGUAAACGGUGCACGCUUGGUGUGCGGGGAAUCGACCCCCUGCGUGCCGGAGCUAACGCGUUAAGCGUGCCGCCUGGGGAGUACGGUCGCAAGAUUAAAACUCAAAGAAAUUGACGGGGACCCGCACAAGCGGUGGAGUAUGUGGCUUAAUUCGAUGCAACGCGAAGAACCUUACCUGGGCUUGACAUGUAAUGAACAACAUGUGAAAGCAUGCGACUCUUCGGAGGCGUUACACAGGUGCUGCAUGGCCGUCGUCAGCUCGUGUCGUGAGAUGUUGGGUUAAGUCCCGCAACGAGCGCAACCCUUAUGGUCAGUUACUACGUAAGAGGACUCUGGCCAGACUGCCGUUGACAAAACGGAGGAAGGUGGGGAUGACGUCAAAUCAUCAUGCCCUUUAUGACUUGGGCUACACACGUACUACAAUGGCGUUAAACAAAGAGAAGCAAGACCGCGAGGUGGAGCAAAACUCAGAAACAACGUCCCAGUUCGGACUGCAGGCUGCAACUCGCCUGCACGAAGUCGGAAUUGCUAGUAAUCGCAGAUCAGCAUGCUGCGGUGAAUACGUAACGGGGCCUUGUACACACCGCCCGUCA